rnacentral:snoRNA from 1 species
AAGACUAUACUUUCAGGGAUCAUUUCUAUAGUUUGUUACUAGAGAAGUUUCUCUGAAGUUGUAUUUUGGGGAGUAAGCCAAGGU